rnacentral:rRNA from 1 species
UACAGAGGUGGCAAGCGUUGUUCGGAAUUACUGGGCGUAAAGGGCGCGUAGGCGGCCGCCUAAGUCAGACGUGAAAUCCCCAAGCUUAACUUGGGAACUGCGUCUGAUACUGGGUGGCUUGAGUUCGAGAGAGGUGAGUGGAAUUCCGAGUGUAGAGGUGAAAUUCGUAGAUAUUCGCAAGAACACCAGUGGCGAAGGCGGCUCACUGGCCCGGUACUGACGCUGAGGUGCGAAAGCGUGGGGAGCAAACAGG